rnacentral:rRNA from 1 species
GACGAACGCUGGCGGCGUGCUUAACACAUGCAAGUCGAACGGAAAGGCCCUGCUUUUGUGGGGUGCUCGAGUGGCGAACGGGUGAGUAACACGUGAGUAACCUGCCCUUGUCUUUGUGAUAACUUCAGGAAACUGGGGCUAAUACCGGAUAGGAUCUCCUGCUGCAUGGUGGGGGUUGGAAAGUUUCGGCGGUUGGGGCUGGACUCGCGGCUUAUCCGCUUGUUGGUGGGGUAGUGGCUUACCAAGGCUUUGACGGGUAGCCGGCCUGAGAGGGUGACCGGCGACAUUGGGACUGAGAUACGGCCCAGACGGCUACGGGAGGCAGCAGUGGGGAAUAUUGCACAAUGAGCGGAAGCGUGAUGCAGAGACGCCGCGUGCGGGAUGACGGCCUUCGGGUUGUAAACCGAUUUCGCAGGUGACGAAGCGUGAGUGACGGUAAUGGGUAAAGAAGCACCAGCUAACUACGUG